AUGGAGGGGCCAAGCUUCUCGAAGCCGGAUGCCGGCUUAUUAGCUGACAUGCUGGCUGAGCAGACUUCCAGAGGGACCGAGAGACCAUUCUUCGGGAACGAUUCAUCUACCGCGUCAACCAUUGGAGUUAGCCCGGUAUCUAUCCCUGGCAUAUCCAGUUUGCCUCAGAGUGACGGGCUUGCAGGACCAGCCACUAGGACUGAUUCUCAUAUGACUCCUGGCAUCCCUCAAAUGCCUACGGAUGA